rnacentral:rRNA from 1 species
UACGAAGGGGGCUAGCGUUGCUCGGAAUUACUGGGCGUAAAGCGCACGUAGGCGGCUUCUUAAGUCGGUGGUGAAAUCCUGGAGCUCAACUCCAGAACUGCCUUCGAUACUGGGAGCUCGAGUCCGGGAGAGGUGAGUGGAACGUGCGAGUGUAGAGGUGAAAUUCGUAGAUAUUCGCAAGAACACCAGUGGCGAAGGCGGACUCACUGGCCCGGUACUGACGCUGAGGUGCGAA